GAUGGACGCUGGCGGCGUGCUUAACACAUGCAAGUCGAACGGUGAAGCAGAGCUUGCUCUGUGGAUCAGUGGCGAACGGGUGAGUAACACGUGAGCAACCUGCCCCUGACUCUGGGAUAAGCGCUGGAAACGGCGUCUAAUACUGGAUAUGAGCUGCGACCGCAUGGUCAGCAGUUGGAAAGAUUUUUCGGUCUGGGAUGGGCUCACGGCCUAUCAGCUUGUUGGUGAGGUAAUGGCUCACCAAGGCGUCGACGGGUAGCCGGCCUGAGAGGGUGACCGGCCACACUGGGACUGAGACACGGCCCAGACUCCUACGGGAGGCAGCAGUGGGGAAUAUUGCACAAUGGGCGAAAGCCUGAUGCAGCAACGCCGCGUGAGGGAUGACGGCCUUCGGGUUGUAAACCUCUUUUAGCAGGGAAGAAGCGAAAGUGACGGUACCUGCAGAAAAAACGCCGGCUAACUACGU
rnacentral:rRNA from 1 species